ACAGAUAUCCCCGACUUACGAUAGUUAGACUUAGAAUUUUUCAACUUUACCAUGGUGUGAAAGCAAUAUGGAUCUAA